rnacentral:lncRNA from 1 species
UGCAUAUAUGUAGUGUGGUACACACGUGAAAGUCAGAGGAUGAUUUGGGGGAAUCGGUUCUUCUACCAUGUGGGUCCCAGACACUGAAUUCAGGUCAUUACAUUAGCCUUGAUGACAGGCAUCUUUACCCACUGGCCAUCCUGUAGGCCCAGAGAGGGGGAAUUUACAUAAACGAAUACCUAAUAAGCCCUUUCAUGCCCUAGUCCCUGUGUGGGGAUGAUCUCACACCCCUGCCUGUCCCCAGCGAGAUCCUCAUGUCUGAUGAACUGUCUGCUCUCACCACUCCCUGAGGGAAGAUGACCAACAACUCUCCCAGCAAUCUUGACAUUCUUAGCAGAUGCUAAAGAUGGACCUUCUGAGCCAAGCCAAACCCUCAAAAAGCCCUUCUCUCGACGGAAGAAUCAUCUCCUUCGCUCCAUGUCUGUCCUGGACAAGGAAUCCAGUAGAAUUUCCUGCAAUGAAUAGAGGUCUUCAGUAUCUGCACUGUUCAACAUGGUGGCCGUUUGCCCCUGUGCUUUGAGCAGCUGAGGCACUGAAUGGCAGCCAUGUGCCAAAGAGAUUCAGAAGAGUCACCUGUGUCCUGUGGAGACCGGGCCAUGAGUACAGAUGCAGGCCAUCUACUGAGAAGUACUUAAGUAAUGUUAGCAGCCACAACAGUGAGAAAAGUUAUGACAUAUACAAAAUCCUCCUGCCUCCGCCUCUGGAAUAGCUGAGAAUAUAAAUCAGUGCCUCUGGAUAACAGGUUUGUCUGCACCAUUCUUAAUAUCUCCUGAGCCACAGCUCAAGAAAAAAGAGCCGU